rnacentral:antisense_RNA from 1 species
CUAUCAUCUUUGGGUCCAAGACUAGGAGUGACUGUGUCUUCUUCACACUUGCCUUCAUCCA